CCUACGGGAGGCAGCAGUGAGGGAUAUUGCACAAUGGACGAAAGUCUGAUGCAGCGACGCCGCGUGGGCGAAGAAGGUUUUCGGAUCGUAAAGCCCUUUUCUAUGUGACGAGAUAGGACGGUAGCAUAGGAAUAAGUGUCGGCUAACUACGUGCCAGCAGCCGCGGUAAAACGUAGGACGCAAACGUUAUCCGGAGUUACUGGGCGUAAAGCGCGCGCAGGCGGUCGAGUAAGUUGCCUAUGAAAGCUUCCGGCCAAACCGGAAGAGGCUAGGUGAAACUGCCCGGCUAGAGAGAGACAGAGGGAAGUAGAAUUCCGGGUGUAGUGGUGAAAUGCGUAGAUAUCCGGAGGAAUACCAGUGGCGAAGGCGGCUUCCUGGGUCUCAGCUGACGCUGAUGCGCGAAAGCGUGGGUAGCGAACGGGAUUAGAAACCCCGGUAGUCCACGCUGUAAACGAUGUACAUUAGGCGUUCGCAUGCGUUCAGUAUGUGAGUGUCGAAGCUAACGCGAUAAAUGUACCGCCUGGGGAGUACGGUCGCAAGGCUAAAACUCAAAGGAAUUGACGG
rnacentral:rRNA from 1 species